UUGUUUUUUUUAAAAAAAAAAACUUUAAAAAUAUUUGCAUUUUUAUAUAUAAAGGUUUUUUUGUCAUAUCUGUAUUUUUAACAACAACAACAAAAUUGUUCCCUGGGGGAGGAAAUGUGGUAUAUGAGGCAGAAAGGAGAGAUGAGUUUGACUAAUUACCUAGACUUUCACUCAGGAACUGCAUUACCAAGCAAGUGUUUGUCACCCUCUGAAAUCUUAUGACAUUUAACAAAUCCUCUUGAGACUGCCAAGUAUUUGCUGCUCAGAGAGUCUGUGCUGCCACUGUUUAAAAUUCAGAACCGGGUUUUAUUGCAUUUCUUCUUUUUUUUUAUCAAAUAAAACACAGUAUCUUGGCACUCAUCUGCCUUGGAGUGAGGAUAAGACUGGAAAUGGAUUUUUCUUCCUAACUCACCAUCCAAAAGUCUGUAGUAGAAAGAAAUAUAAACCACUUCCUGUACCUACUCUUGAACUGAAUGUCACCACAAGACUGGCAGAGAGCAGUCAUUUCAUUAAAGAUAAUGCAGGGUUCUCCACUGAGGCCCAGUGGUCUUUACAUGCAACAUCUGUAUCUCUGUCUACACUCCACUAUACCUCCAGGAUGUCCUCCUUCGCCUGA
rnacentral:lncRNA from 1 species